GAUGAACGCUGGCGGCGUGCUUAACACAUGCAAGUCGAACGAAGUGAUUAUUCGCAUGUCCUCCGGACAUUGAAUAAAUUCGUGAGAGGCGGACGUGUGAGACACACGUGUGUAACUUGCCUCACUCAGGGGGAUAGGAGUUGAUAACGACUGCUAAUACCGCAUAAGACGAUAGCUCGUCAAGGUCCGUUGUUCUGAGACUUAUCGAUGUAUGAUGGCCCCGCGCCGCAGUAGCUAGUUGGUAAGGUAACGGCUUACCAAGGCAACGACGGGUAUCCGACCUGAGAGGGUGAGCGGCCACACUGGAACUGAGACACGGUCCAGACUCCUACGGGAGGCAGCAGUAGGGAAUCUUCCGCAAUGGGCGAAAGCUUGACGGAGCAACGCCGCGUGAGUGAUGAAGGUCUUCGGAUCGUAAAACUCUGUUAUUAGGGAAGAACAAAUGUGUAAGUAACUAUGCACGUCUUGGCGGUACCGAAUCAGAAAGCCACGGCUAACUACGUG
rnacentral:rRNA from 1 species